GACACCCCUACACUGAAACUCUCGCUUAAAGAAGAAGAUAAUUAAAUUGUUAUUGCUAUUGAUUUUGAAAAAGGAAAAGCCUAACUCAAUUCUCCCUGUCUUACCGUUCACGCACCAAAAACCCUAACCCUUUCCAUUUCCCAAAAACCCUAAAUAAUCAAAGUUUCAAUUUUUAUUAAACCCUAAUUAUCAAAUCAACCUUCCCCUACAGUUCUAAAUUAAAAUAAUUAUUAAAAGAAAAGCAAGAAGACGAAUUAUCAUUAGUUUCAAAAUUAGGGUUUUGAUGAAUGGCUACAGGGCCAACUAAUACCAGCAGCAACAAGAAAGUGUAUGCCCAAAAACUCCAAACCAAUUACCGAAAUACCAGCCGUAUCCCUCAGUCAACGCCGCCUCCGCCGCUGUCGCAGCAGCAGCAGAAACCCUUCGAUACGGUGGCUUCCGACGACGAUUCAUCCAGUCACAGUCACCUCCCAUACAAUGGGAGAGGGAAUUUACUACCCGGGUAUGUCAAACUCGAUGAUAAAGUUAGAAUUAGCUUGAAUUGUGGAUCGAAAUCGGUUAUUAGAGAAUUGAAGAGGAAGUUAGUUAGUGAACUCGAUCAAGUUAGAAGCUUAAAAAAGAGACUUGAAGCUAAAGAAACUCAAUUUAAUGGUAGUAAUAGAACUGGUGGAACUCUUGCUAGGGUCAAUUCUGAAGUUAGUUAUGUGGGCCCCACAAAUUCACGGCCUUUGCAGAAGUUAGCUGAUAACACCAGUAAUAAUAAUCAUUUUGAGAAUUUGGAUAAAGAGAAGAAAACUUCAAAGGUUAAUCAUAAGAAGGAAAAGGUUUUGGGUUCAGAGAAUAUUAAGAAGAAGUUGAAGACGAGUAAUGAACCGAAGAAAGGAGGUGAGGGAAACAUAAUGGGUAGGUGUAACAGAGAGGUAUUUAAAAAGUGUGAGGAUUUGUUGGAGAAGUUGAUGAAGCAUCAGUAUGGAUGGGUGUUUAAUAAACCUGUGGAUGUGAAGAAAUUAAAAUUGCAUGAUUAUUUUAAGAUUAUUAAGCAUCCCAUGGAUUUGGGAACAGUGAAGAGUAGAUUAAAAAAGAAUUGGUAUAAGUCACCUAAGGAGUUUGCGGAGGAUGUAAAAUUGACUUUUAAUAAUGCUAUGAAGUAUAAUGAUAAAGGGCAGGAUGCACAUAUCAUGGCGGAUGUGUUGUUAAAGUUGUUUGAGGAGCACUGGGCGAUUAUAGAGCCUGAGUUUAUUAAUAAUGAGAGGGUUGAUAUGGGUUAUGAUGCAGGUUUGCCUAGACCUGCUCCUAAUAGAGCUUCAGCUCCUCCUGCUCCUGCCCCUUCCCCUGUCCUUGCUUCUGCUCCUCUGCGAAAAAUGCCCUCAGAGAGUAAGAUUUUGGAUAGAUCAGAAUCUAUGACAAAACCCAUGAAUUCUAGCAUGAAGGCUGCAAAUAUGGCUACACAUGAGGGUAGGCUACCCAUGUCAAAGAAGCCUAAAGAAAUAGAUCCUCAAAGGAGAGAGAUGACUUUUGAAGAGAAGCAGAGACUGAGUGCAGACCUACUGGAUAUGCCUUCAGACAAAUUGGAUAGUGUGGUACAGAUUAUUAGGAAGAGAAACCCUGGGCUUUGCCAACAAGAUGAUGAAAUUGAGGUGGACAUUGAUAGUUUUGAUUCUGAGACCCUAUGGGAACUUGAUAGGCUUGUGAAUAAUCACAAGAAGGGUUUAACCAAGGACUCAAGAAUAGCUGAACCUACUUUUCAAGCAAGAGGAGAAGCUGGCCACAACAUUGAGGAGACUAAUCUGACCUCUAGGGCUGCUGAGGCACCAGAAGAAUCUGAAGCUGUUGACAAGUUUGUAGUCACAUCUUCUAUUCAAAGAGAAAAACAAGGUGACAAUGUCAGCAGAUCAAGUAGGUCAAGUAGCUCUAGCAGUGAUUCUGGAUCCUCUUCAAAUGAUUCUGACAGUGGAAGUUCCUCUGGAUAUGGAUCAGAUGCAGGCCAAUGACACAGGAGUUUCUAGAUUCAGUUGAGGUAAUCAAAUUAUAUAGGGGGUUAUGAGGUUCCAGCAAGACGCCAUGUGAUUAUGCACUAUUUGUUGUCUGAUCUUUAUUUUGUAUAAUUGAAUUAGCUAUCUACAGGCUGCGUCUAAUGGGAAUCAUAUUUUGCAAUGUGCCUUUAUCUAAGGUUAAACUAUAUGGAAUGGGAGUUUGCAAGACCAUUGGAAUAUAGAUCAGUCAAGGCUGAUGUGCACUAAUGCAUUCAGUCAAGGCUGGUCUCUUGGCUAAAUCAUUCCUUAGGUGUAAAUUGAUCCAAUUGUAGCUGCACCUGACAAUACCGUUAAUGCUGAUUUUGCCCUGCCCUUGGCUGCACAGUGAGGAACAGUCUGUGUUUAACCUUCUUCGCAUUAUCAAAUGAUAUCUCAUCAACCUGAAGUACUUGAAAAAUUGUAUCGUGUUUUUGUAUCACGAGACUCUGCUUCAAAAGCUCACCGUGUUAUUGUAUCAUGAGAAUCUGCUUCAAAAGCUUACAUGGGGUUCUGCAAUGCCAAGGAGAUGUGGGGUAAGAUUUUAUAGUAUACUAGCGUUAGAAUUGGUUUUGCAAUCACUUGUCAGGUGAAUUUGAAAAGGAAUGGAAUCUGGUCAGCUUUUGUUGAUGUUAAAUGUUCAUUGCUCUCUGACUCACAGAAUCACGUAGUUCACCCGGUGGGACAAAAUUGAGAUUCACAAGUGAUAUUUUUUAUGAGGAAAAAGAAAGUGUACCUGAUGCACUGAAUACAUAUACCUAUUGAAUUGGUGAACUAUAGGGACAAAUUUAGGAGUUGGCAUGAAAAA